rnacentral:rRNA from 1 species
UACGGAAGGUCCGGGCGUUAUCCGGAUUUAUUGGGUUUAAAGGGAGCGCAGGCUGAUUAUUAAGCGUGACGUGAAAUGUAGCCGCUCAACGGCUGAACUGCGUCGCGAACUGGUAGUCUUGAGUGAGUUCGAUGUUGGUGGAGUUCGUGGUGUAGCGGUGAAAUGCUUAGAUAUCACGAAGAACCCCGAUUGCGAAGGCAGCUGACGAGUCCUUUACUGACGCUAAAGCUCGAAGGUGCGGGUAUCGAAC